GCCGGCGUANCGGUCGGACGGGUGCANUAAUGCCUGGGGAUCNGCCCAGUNCNAGGNGNAUNACNUAUUGGAAACGACUGCAUAAUACCGCAUACNCCCNUACGGGGGAAAGGAGNGGACCUUCGGGCCUUUCGCGAUUGUAAUGAACCCAGGUGGGAUUACCUAGUUGGNGGGGUAAUGNNUCACCAUGGCGACGAUCCCUAGCUGNUCUGANAGGAUGAUCAGCCACACUGGAACUGAAACNCGGNCCAGACUCCUACGGGAGUAAGCAGUGGGGAAUAUUGCACAAUGGGGGAAACCCUGAUGCAGCCAUGCCGCGUGUGUGAAGAAGGCCUUCGGGUUGUAAAGCACUUUCAGCGAGGAGGAAAGGUUGGCGCCUAAUACGUGUCAACUGUGACGUUACUCGCAGAAGAAGCACCGGCUAACUCCGUGCCAGCAGCCGCGGUAAUACGGAGGGUGCAAGCGUUAAUCGGAAUUACUGGGCGUAAAGCGCACGCAGGCGGUUGGAUAAGUUAGAUGUGAAAGCCCCGGGCUCAACCUGGGAAUUGCAUUUAAAACUGUCCAGCUAGAGUCUUGUAGAGGGGGGUAGAAUUCCAGGUGUAGCGGUGAAAUGCGUAAAGAUCUGGAGGAAUACCGGUGGCGAAGGCGGCCCCCUGGACAAAGACUGACGCUCAGGUGCGAAAGCGUGGGGAGCAAACAGGAUUANAUACCCUGGUAGUCCACGCCGUAACGAUGUCGAUUUGGANGCUGUGUCCUNGAAACGUGGCUUCCGGANC
rnacentral:rRNA from 1 species